AUAUUGCGCAAUGGUGGGAACUCUGACACAGCGUCGCCGCGUGAGCGAUGAAGGUCUUCGGAUCUUAAAGCUCUGUCCUUGGGGAAGAAGGUCUUCGGACUUGACGGUACGUAAGGAGGAAGGCCCGUCGAACUACGUGCCAGCAGCCGCGGUAAUACGUAGGGGGCAAGCGUUGUCCGGAAUUAUUGGGCGUAAAGGGUGCGUAGGCGGCCUUUUAAGUCAGAUGUGAAAGCCCACGGCUUAACCGCGGGACUGCAUUUGAAUCUGGAGCGCUUGCGUAUCGGAGAGGGUAGUGGAAUUCCCAGUGUAGCGGUGGAAUGCGUAGAUAUUGGGAGGAACACCAGUGGCGAAGGCGACUACCUGGACGAAAACUGACGCUGAGGCACGAAAGCUAGGGGAGCAAAC
rnacentral:rRNA from 1 species